GUCGCUUGCCGCCCGGUUAUGUGGGUGUUUGCGGGGCUGUGGGGCGGGUGGCUCUUCUGCCUCGCCUGGGUCGGCGAUUUCGGGCGAGCUCAGAGGCUCUUCGCCCAUCCUCGCCUCCACGCGGCCUCCCGAUCCGAUUCCUCCCGGGUCUUGGGGCUUCACGCUUACCGCACUUGCUAUAUCGCCCAGAAGGUCAAGUUAGCCAUCACUGGUUUAGCCAAUGAUUUGUCUUGUCUUGGACUAAGAUGGCUGUUUUGAAAGGAACAGGGCUUAGGGAAGAGAAGGAUGGAUUUUAGGGGAAAGUUUGCAAGACUCUGGGAAAAAAUAUUGUGUACCAGCUGGAUACACCUGCUUCGCUAUGGAGCUAUGUGGUCGGGCUUAGCUUUUGGGGAGGAAUAUAAGGGGAAAAAUUCUGCCUCUGCCU